rnacentral:rRNA from 1 species
UACAGAGGGUGCAAGCGUUGUUCGGAUUUACUGGGCGUAAAGCGCACGUAGGCGGAUUGUUAAGUGAGGGGUGAAAUCCCAGGGCUCAACCCUGGAACUGCCUUUCAUACUGGCAAUCUUGAGUCCGGAAGAGGUGAGUGGAACUCCUAGUGUAGAGGUGGAAUUCGUAGAUAUUAGGAAGAACACCAGUGGCGAAGGCGGCUCACUGGUCCGGGUACUGACGCUGAGGUGCGAAAGCGUGGGGAGCGAACAGG